GACGAACGCUGGCGGCGUGCUUAACACAUGCAAGUCGAACGGAAAGGCCCUGCUUUUGUGGGGUGCUCGAGUGGCGAACGGGUGAGUAACACGUGAGUAACCUGCCCUUGACUUUGGGAUAACUUCAGGAAACUGGGGCUAAUACCGGAUAGGAGCUCCCGCUGCAUGGUGGGGGUUGGAAAGUUUCGGCGGUUGGGGAUGGACUCGCGGCUUAUCAGCUUGUUUGUGGGGUAGUGACUUACCAAGGCUUUGACGGGUAGCCGGCCUGAGAGGGUGACAGGCCAAAUUGGGACUGAAAUACGACCCAGACUACUACGGGAGGCAGCAGUGGGGAAUAUUACACAAUGGGAGGAAGCCUGAUCCAGCAACGCCACGUGCGGGAUGACGGCCUUCGGGUUGUAAACCGCUUUCGCCUGUGACGAAGCGUGAGUGACGGUAAUGGGUAAAGAAGCACCGGCUAAGUACGUG
rnacentral:rRNA from 1 species